rnacentral:rRNA from 1 species
CCUGAACGCUGGCGGCGUGGCUAAGACAUGCAAGUCGCACGGACCCGCAAGGGUUAGUGGCGAACGGGUGAGUAAUGAAUCGCUAAUGUACCCCGGACUCUGGGAUAGCCGGCCGAAAGGCCGGGUAAUACCAGAUGAUAUAACCGCUCCGCAUGGAGUGGUUCUCAAAGGUCCGCCGGUCUGGGAGCAGGCGAUUUCGUAUCAGCUAGUUGGUGAGGUAACGGCUCACCAAGGCGACGACGCGUAGCCGGACUGAGAGGUUGGCCGGCCACAUUGGGACUGAGACACUGCCCAGACUCCUACGGGGGGCUGCAGUAACGAAUCUUCCGCAAUGUACGCAAGUAUGACGGAGCGACGCCGCGUGUAGGAUGAAGCCC